CUUAACAAGGACUCAUGUAGGCUGGGACAGAACAGGGGAAGUAAUACAGCAAAUAAAGAUACUAUCAGACUGGUUCUCUGGCAGAACUGCUCCGUGGAUUUGAUUGGGAGUGCUUAGGAAUGACUCAAGACAACUUUUGGACGACACUGGACACAGUUGGGAUGGGGAGCCUUGAAGAUUUCAGUUCCUUCUGGAAGCCAUCAAAGAGUCACUGGAUUGAAAUAUACAGAAACAUUUAGAAAACAUCCCUUUGGUUUCCUUCUGCUUCAGUGAUCUUUGUUCCUUGAUCAAGUUUCACAGACUAAAGAACAGCUGAAAAGUGACUGAAACCUCAGAAAAGAUGGUUGAACAGUGCAACUUCUAGCUGAAAGUCUCUCUAAAAAGCUUUAUGAAAUGAUAAUGAUUGUGUAAAAUAUGCCGGGACAUGUAAAGGACUACAAAAAGAUUUUGAUUCAGUUCCAGACCAAAGAGAUAUUCUCACAGCUAAAGUAUUAACUGAGUUGAUUCCAUCUAUUUGUCUGAAGUUUAAGUCUGCAUAUCCCUGCAAUAUUGGGAUUCUAAAUGGAGAAGUGAUAAAUUCCUUUUUCCUAUGAAGUUUGUUUCUUUCCAUAAUAUGCACGGUGAUGGACAUUUUCAUGUUUUCAUUUAAUGAAUAUUCCUAUCUUUAGACCUUGCUGAACCUUAUAUUUAAAAGACUAGAGUGCAAUGAACACACAGAGAGAGAAUAUUUUAAAGAAGAGAAAUUGAGAAAAAGCAGCUAAAGUAGGGAGUUGAGAAAACCUCUUGGGGACGGUACCAAAUCUUCUUCAUAAAUAAAUAUGAAAAAGGAAUUAUUGCCCUGAUAGGAUAUAGACAGGUGUGACUUUUUCACACAUUAAGACAGAUUUUCAGGUUCCCGUAAGAGCUGAGUGUAACUAUUCUAAGUAAGGGACCAUCUUAAGGUAAAUAGUACGUGACAGAUUAAAUGAGUAGAAUGGGAGCCUAGACUAAAGUGUAUAUGUGCAAAUGCACAUGUACCCAUGCAUGUAUAAUAAAAUCAGAUAUACUGUUAGAAAAUGAGGUGACUAUCUCAGACAGUUGAUUUUAAGAAUGAUGAAGACUUGUGGCUAGUUUUUUUAUUUUGUUGUAUUUUAUCAUUUGAAACAAUAAAAACAUGAGUUCUUUUCUGGCUUAUGUUCCAAAAUAAUUUGAUUAAUGGUCAGUAUUAUUUGCUGCUCCAAUUUAGCAGAUUAGGCUAUCCUGGCUGUUUAUCUGUGAAAGUAAUUACAGGCAAAGAGAAGGUUUUGUUGUUGGUGUAUAUAGAACAUCUAUAUUAAUAAAUAGACAAUAUAACUGAAAGAAUAAAGUAGCGCUCUGAAAGAAUACAGCUUCUCUCCUGUUACUGUA